rnacentral:rRNA from 1 species
UAAGGAAUAUUGGGCAAUGGGCGCGAGCCUGACCCAGCCAUGCCGCGUGCAGGAAGACGGCCUUAUGGGUUGUAAACUGCUUUUUUAUGGGACUAACCUACUCUACGUGUAGAGUACUGCAGGUACCAUACGAAUAAGCAUCGGCUAACUCCGUGCCAGCAGCCGCGGUAAUACGGAGGAUGCAAGCGUUAUCCGGAAUCAUUGGGUUUAAAGGGUGCGUAGGCGGACUAGUAAGUCAGUGGUGAAAUACCCGUGCUCAACAUGGGUGCUGCCAUUGAUACUGUUAGUCUCGAGUUUAAUUGAUGUUGGCGGAAUGUGUCAUGUAGCGGUGAAAUGCAUAGAUAUGACACAGAACACCGAUAGCGAAGGCAGCUGACAAAAUUAACACUGACGCUGAUGCACGAAAGCGUGGGGAUCAAACAGGAUUAGAUACCCGCGUAGUCC